rnacentral:rRNA from 1 species
UACACUCCUGCGGGAGGCAGCAGUGGGGAAUUUUGGACAAUGGGCGAAAGCCUGAUCCAGCAAUGCCGCGUGAGUGAAGAAGGCCUUCGGGUUGUAAAGCUCUUUUGUCAGGGAAGAAACGGUGAGAGCUAAUAUCUUUUGCUAAUGACGGUACCUGAAGAAUAAGCACCGGCUAACUACGUGCCAGCAGCCGCGGUAAUACGUAGGGUGCAAGCGUUAAUCGGAAUUACUGGGCGUAAAGCGUGCGCAGGCGGUUUUGUAAGUCUGAUGUGAAAUCCCCGGGCUCAACCUGGGAAUUGCAUUGGAGACUGCAAGGCUAGAAUCUGGCAGAGGGGGGUAGAAUUCCACGUGUAGCAGUGAAAUGCGUAGAUAUGUGGAGGAACACCGAUGGCGAAGGCAGCCCCCUGGGUCAAGAUUGACGCUCAUGCACGAAAGCGUGGGGAGCAAACAGGAUUAGAAACCCCAGUAGUCCCAUGAU